rnacentral:rRNA from 1 species
UACGUAGGUGACCAGCGUUGUCCGGAUUUACUGGGCGUAAAGAGCGCGCAGGCGGUCGUUCAAGUCGAGUGUGAAAGCCCCCGGCUCAACUGGGGAGGGUCACUCGAUACUGAUCGACUUGAAGGCAGGAGAGGGAAGCGGAAUUCCCGGUGUAGUGGUGAAAUGCGUAGAUAUCAGGAGGAACACCGGUGGCGAAGGCGGCAUCCUGGACCGACAUUGACGCUGAGGCGCGAAAGCCAGGGGAGCAAACGGG